AUUGAACGCUGGCGGCAUGCCUUACACAUGCAAGUCGAACGGCAGCACGGGAGCAAUCCUGGUGGCGAGUGGCGAACGGGUGAGUAAUAUAUCGGAACGUGCCCAGUCGUGGGGGAUAACGUAGCGAAAGCUACGCUAAUACCGCAUACGAUCUACGGAUGAAAGCGGGGGAUCGCAAGACCUCGCGCGAUUGGAGCGGCCGAUAUCAGAUUAGCUAGUUGGUGGGGUAAAAGCUCACCAAGGCGACGAUCUGUAGCUGGUCUGAGAGGACGACCAGCCACACUGGAACUGAGACACGGUCCAGACUCCUACGGGAGGCAGCAGUGGGGAAUUUUGGGACAAUGGGCGAAAGCCUGAUCCAGCAAUGCCGCGUGCAGGACGAAGGCCUUCGGGUUGUAAACUAGCUUUGUUACGGAACGAAAGGUUUUUACUUAAUUAAAGAGAGCCAUGACGGUACCGUAAGAAUAAGACACCGGCUAACUACGUAGCCAGCAGCCGAC
rnacentral:rRNA from 1 species